ACCCAUCCGAGGGCCCAUAGGUGCAAAAUGAUGAAGCUGGCAUUGGAACCAAAGCCUGUCUGUCUUCACUCAGCUUCUUCUCGAAGAGCUUCUUGGAAAAUCUAUUAAAAGCCAUGGCGAGAUCUGCACUCUAGGAUAAUUGAAAAGUAAGGAGCUUGGAUCUAGGGACUAAAGCCUUCAUUGUAAUACUAACCAACUGGGAGAUACGGGAAAGAAAAUCAUCACUCCUCUCGCCCCUUCAGCAGAAUUACCCAGAUGUUUUAACCCCACAGAGGUGUUGAUCCCCAUGAAAUAUCUCGGACCCCAAACUCCAACUCAGCAUCUGCUUCCACCGGAUCCAACCUGAGAGAGUUUCCUUGGUGAUUUCCAAAUUUGGUGCAUCCUUCCUUUAGUGUCUGUUGUGCUUCUGAAAGUGGAUGAAAUUGUCCCCUCUGGUCCACAUGGAG